rnacentral:lncRNA from 1 species
AAACGGGGCUGUGCAACUUGGUCAUGUCGCUGAAGAGUUUUGGAAAACUGAAUAAAUAACGAGCAUGAAGUGCUUCCUAAACCUUUAAGGACCUCAAAAAACAAAACAAAACAAAACUUUCAACAAGCAGAUGUAGAAAAUUUAAAUUAUAUUUGGCCUACAAGUAAAGGUUACUCCAUGCUUCCCUACCUCAAAUGUCACUCUCUCUGGUACUGAGAAAAUCUGUGUCGCCUGUUAUAAGGCAGUCUACACAAGACCAACACGCUAACCCACUGCCAGCUCAGGGUUAUCAAACAUUUACACAGUGGCCCAGACAAAAAUACCCCACGGAAACAAAACAAAAACAAACAAACAAAAACCCAGAGAGAAAAACCACCCUUUAAAGAUUUGGCCUUGGGUUUUAAAUUUGCCCAUCCUUUUUUAACACUAUGUAUUGACAAUCUUUCCUUCAAUGAUGCCUUGUUCUAAUUUCUGUUUUUCACAUCCAUUAAUGGCACAUGAUAGGCCAGGGGUUGCUGCCAUAGCGUAAACGGAAAAGGUGCCUGUAAUCCGGGUGUGUAAUGUACUGGGCCAUAUUCUGGUCCCCAGUUUUCAUGGGUUUCCCAUGGUAGGCUACCCACUGGCUUAGGAGUAUUUCUAGCCCUUAGUGGAGUAAAAAUAUUAACACCUAACACUUGAUUCCCACCUUUAAGAUACAAUUUAAAGAAAUGCUAAAAAGGCAAACGGCUCAAAAUGCCUCCACCAGGCACCUCCAGGCCCACACCGUGCGGGUCCCUAUGGCCCACUCUGGGGUGUCCUUCCAGUGUUCGACACUCCCCGGCCCACGGCCCUGCCGGCCUCCACGGGGCACAACUCAACCCGCGAGUCCACGCGGGACACUCCCCGGUCUACAGCCCCACCGGCCUCCUCCACGCGGCACCCCUUAACCCGGGAGUCCACGUCUAUUAUCAAAAGUAUCUAUUUAGAUUUGGGUAGUAAAACCAAAGGGGAUCAGAAGUGUAGCAGUGUGGGUCCUCCCUCCCUGCAUAGCUGUUACCAGGAGGCAGUGUGCCUGAAGUACUUUCACUCACAUAUGCGGGGCUUAGUCACUAGCAAACUUGUUUUUCUUUUUUACAGAUUUUCCAGCAAAGUUAUUAAAUAUCAAACUCAAAUAAUGGACUCCGCAUGGAUGCACUCUGAAGUCAUGGAACACUUCUUCUUAGUUACCUUCACACAAUAAGCCAUAACAUAUAGCUUUCGGCUGUUCACAAUUAAGCAACAGUGAAGGCAAAGUUAGCAAGAACACCAGAUUAUUUUCUGUAGCACACCUUCAUUAACUAUUAUUAUUUAACUGCCUUAUUUUAUGCUUUUUAUAGCCCCCACAAAAACGAAAAAACCCUGUCUCAUCCUCAGAUUA